GGCUUGCGUUUUUUUUAGCCCAAGUGUUGAAUCUGAAUGGCCACUAAGACAUUAAUCAAUCUAGAUCGAACGAAAGGGCAUGUGUUUCGAUCGGAGAGAGAGAGAGGGGAGUACGGUUCGAGUUCUUGGAUUAGUUGAGGAGUGUGUCGGUGGUAACUUUUUUUCCGAGGAGGUUUAUUAUCGUCGGCGUCUUGAUCUUCGCCGGAGAUACCUUCGACGUUAUCACUUCCAGAUCUGCUCUCAUGCUCCUCUUCACGGCUUCUCUUGUUCGUCGCACUCCCUUCGAAAUUAUUAUAGUUAUUAUUGUUCCUCAUGGACGCUUCUCCACGGUUCGUGAUGAGGAUCGGCAUGGAGGGAAACACGGCGGCGGAAGGAGGCUAGAUAGGUUGCGAAAGGUGGGAGCUUUAUUGGGUUAGAGCACCUCCUCAUCGACUAACAGGUUUGCGUGCUUAUUGUGUCGUGCCAACAUGUUUACACUUAUGGCCUUUAUAUUUUCGACGAGGGAAUAUAGAGAUUCAUACGUUGGUGAUGACCAACCACUGAACACCAUAGCCGACGAAACCCGGGUUGGCUAAGACUGGUGGUGUGGAAUCGGCCGGAAAAAGUCAGCUCUCCACCGGUAUAUCUCCCGUCGCCUUUUACUUCAACAACGUCUCAUCAGGUCAAGCCAAAUCAGAGCUCUGAUUUCGCUUGAUCCACUUCUGGGAAGCCAAAAACAUUGCAAAGGUGGAACCUUUAUUUGCUUUGAGAUGCUCCUCAUCGACGAUAGAUAAGCAGAUACCUCAUGGAGCAAAACGCUUGCGUUCUUCGUCGACAGGAAGGUCAUCAUCAUCAGUGUUCGGUAGAUCUAUAGCUCCGAAUGCAUCUCCGGUUUGGAUGCCACCUAAGGCAUCGUUGAAACCUCCACUUGAUUAUCCCUAUAAAGACAGAGAUAACAGAUACUAUGGUGAUGUACCGUUGGUUUGUUCGAGAAAUAAUUGGUAUCAGCGGGAAGCUUCAGCUGUUCGUGAUGAAAUGAGAUUGCAUCAGACUCAGCGGUGGAGAAUGGUAAUGACAGAAAGGAUCGGCAAAAGGAAGCCACCAUGCUUCAGACAGGAGUCUUGAGGACUAACUGCAUAGACUGUUUAGACCGCACCAAUGUUGCUCAGUACGCUUACGGUUUGGUAGCAAUUGGGCGUCAAUUUCAUGCUUUGGGAUUGACAGAGUCUACUACUAUUGAUCUAGAUAAUCCUCUGGCUGAAGAUUUGAUGGGAGUAUAUGAGACAAUGGGCGAUACUCAUGCGCUUCAGUAUGGAGGAUCCGCAGCACAUAACAAGAUAUUUUGUGAAAGGCGUGGUCAGUGGAAAGCGGCUACUCAGUCGCAAGAGUUAUUCAGAACAUUGCAACGUUACUACAGUAACGCUUAUAUGGAUGCUGAAAAGCAAGAUGCGAUUAACUUGUUCUUGGGAUACUUUCAGCCACAACUAGAUAAUCCAGCUCUAUGGGAAAUGGGUUCUGAUCAGCAUUACAAUGCAGCAAGAAGUCUUGCCAGUUCUGUACCUGAGAUCUCAAGGUCUACGAUGAAACGAUCUCUAUCAGAAAGUAGCAUCCUUAGUGAGGGCAGUAGUACAGUAGCUGGUAGACAUGGUUUAGGUGAGAAGGAUGAAGAAGUUAAAGGUCUUUCAGAUUCAGCACCUGGGAUCAUCUCAACUUCUAAAACAACUGCCAUGAUUGCUGGUAGUUUCAGUGCUCCACCAGCGACAUUGGAGGAUAUAGGUUUAGACGAGAUACUUGAAAACGAUUUGCUUCUGUUUUAAUGAUGAUAGGCGUGGUGGUGACCAGUGUACGUGUGCAGCUUUGAUAUGGAUUGGGUUUCUUCUUCAGGAGCCUCUUGUGAAGAUGUGAGUUACAGAAGAUCAACAGUGGUUAGGUCUUUUGAAACCUCCCUGAAAGUACAAAAAUAGAGUGAUUUGUGUCGUUAACGCAAAGGUGAGCAAAUAAAUUGACACAAAGCAGCCGUUUGUGUUUGGUUUGUGUUAAUAUCAAAUGCUGCUUUAAGUGAUAAUAUCUCACUAUAUUAGUGGCUAAAUCAUUAUUAGAGUUGUAAAAAUAUUAUUAAAUUGGUUGAAAGGACAUUAUAUUCGUUGGUGUUUC